CGGUCAACAUUUAACGAACACAACUGUCUGUAAAAAAUAGGGGACACGCCCACAAACAGCCGAUUGUGGGGACGCGGCGCGGCGACAGACGGCAGUCGCUGCGUAUAGUGUGGCUUCACCGUCAGAGCUUGUUCCAAUAGUGUGCAGCUGAGACUAGGUUAUGAAUCAUUAGUGCAUGCUUAUAAUACUUGGUUUGUUGUUGUUUUUCAGGUAGUUUGAAAAGGAUGUUGGCAUUAGGAAAAUCUUUACUUGCUGAAAUGUUCAAACUGAUAUGUUAUGUCAACGGCAUUGGCAGGCUAGCAAGCUAGUUAUUUGCAUGUGACGCCGAGGCUACAUGAAAGAGAAGCACUUGUCGCCUUCUUUCUUCUGUAUUACAGGGUUGUGAAGUCUUAACUUAUAUAACUACAUAUACAUGUUAUUUAAAAGGUUAAUUCCCAGUGAGGUCGAUUUGGUAAGGGUAAAAGUACUUCUGUAAUUUUGUGACCGAGUACAGAAAAUACGGGUUUCCUUUGUGCCGUGAUGAGCUAGAUGGCUGCACCGCGAAAUGGACUGUGUGCUGCCCACUGUCUCAAAGGCUGUGCUGUCCGCGUGCCUGCAUCUACCAACAUCUCCAAGACCCUAUGGAACAAGUUCCAUUUAUCAGACAUUAGGCUUUCCUUGCUCCAAUUUAGUGCCAGAGUUCUCCUUUACCAUUGUUGAGAAUAAUUUCAGAUUGCACCUUGCUGUAUUACACUGUCUAUUUCCUUCAUUUUGACAGACACACCCAUUAUAAAAUGGCUGCUCCAAUGAAGCGCAGGGUGAUUCUGGGACCAAACAACUCCCAAAAUUGGGUCCUUCCCAAUGGGAUGCCUGCGUCUGUUGGUGAACUUUCAGACCAAGUAAAGAAAUAGUGUGGAGUAGAUGGGGACUUCAGGCUUAAAUAUAUGGAUGGUGAUUUCGGGAAUUAAUUCAUCAACUUGCUCUCAACAUCAGAUGUGAAGGUAAAGUAAUCCUUACUUCUACCACCAGCUCUGAUAGUCCUGUUGCACUUGGAAUGCCUGAUGACAUUGUAACCUUAACCCUGUUGCCUCCUUCCCAAGCAAGCACCACAUCCCAUUUUUUGAACAGCUCCCUGUCGGUGUCUCAGUGUGACACAAAUAUACUGUCAUCUCCUGAAUCCACCACCUAUCGCACUCCACGUCCUCAAGGUCCGCUGGACGGCCUAGUGGCAUCUUCCCAGUGCCUCGGUUUUCUUAUGAUACAGAGCUGGAGCUGGAAAAGGCGAAUGCUGCUUUCCAGAAGGAUGGUACAUUGCAUAAUCCUAGGCAUAAACUUAAAUGUGCCAUCCUUGAUGGCUUAAUAGAGGAGAUCAUAAAGUUUAAAAUAUACCUCUGACUUAGCCAAUGCCGCCUCAGCCCUUGUAAAACCCCAUCCUUGUUUAAGAGAGCCAGGGUCAGUCUGUGGUUAUGAUGGAUGGAAGGUGAGCCUACAGUUUAAGCUUGGAAACUUCAGGAGGCAACUUCGGGAGCUUGAAACUCCAGAGGUUACUGUCAAUGCCCUCAAAAACAAACCUAAUGGCAAAUGCAGUCCUGCCUACAGAAAAACUAAGACAGGCUGAAGUCAAUUACUACCCCAAUUACCAAUCAGGUGAAACAACGGAGACACUGGAGCAGAUGAGAGUGCUUCUGCUUGCAGAAGUGAAGAAAAGACACAAUGAGGAGAAUGUCAAAAAAAUGAUAGACAAGACAUUUGCUCUGAGAAGAUGGGAGAUUGUUCAAGACUCUCCUCUGAUUGUGAAUUUUAAAUUGAGGUGGCCAGCUCUAUUUCAAGUGAAUGAGGUCAGUGGAACAUAAGUAUAGGACCAUCCCAUGUUUUUAAUUACUGAAAAAGAUUGAAUCAAAAUACAUUUUGUGUAAUUGUCUUUCUUUAAAUAUGUGCUUGUAGCUGGAGGCGGAGUUCAAAUGAAUAACCGCAGUCCAUCUGCAGUCCCAAUUCUUUUCGAGGCUGGACUUGCUUGCCGAGAACCUGAUGGGGGUGUAUGCUAAGAAAGGUGGUGUUGCCGGAAGAAAAAUAAGAUCCAUUAUGGCACGCAUGUCCCAGAAUGAAACCAUUAACAUCAAAUGUGAAUGCCUCCUCCGUAGUCUUUGUGUUUACUUGAAUGAGGAUCCAGAACACCUUGUGAAAGAAUACAAGGCUACUGGUGAAGAAGACUUUCCAGGGGAGAUGGCAGAAAUGGCCAUGGCCAUUUUUGUCAUUACACACAAGGGUGUAGAGCCCAGAGAACCCAUCAAACAUUGGAAUCUUCAUGGAGGGGGUGGAGGUCCUUAGUGAGUUGAGCAGCGUGCCUUUGGCAGUAGCCAUGUUUCUGGGUCUCACAUAUACACUUAACCUGAGCUACCCAUCAGUGCACAGAUACACUUUUGAAGCUCUUCAAAAGAUUGUUAUGCAAACAGAUGACAAAAAACUAUCGACAAAAGUGCAAACACUAAAAAAAACAAGCUUCACAUUAGUGAGAAGCAUUUUUUUUUCUUUCACUUUUUAAACUUGUAAAAUUUUGGAAUAUUGAUGUGAAAGAGAGACACUUUCCAAAUAUGUGCAUUUUAUUCUGUGAAAUGUUAAAGGACAUGCAAUGCACUUUGUUUAAUUUAAUGUGAAGCAGAUUGAUAUUUAGUUUUGCUUUAAAAUGUUUAAAAUUCCAUGUUUACAGAGAAUGUUUUCCAUUUAAAUGACAGAAUCUGUCAUUAGGUUUAUAGUUACAUGUUUAUUGAAUGAACCACUUAUGCCUUAUGACUCUGUGCACUUGUGCCACUUGUGUGUGAUGUACCUCAUUCUGCUGUGUGGACAGAAGCACUUUUGAAACGUGUCCAUUUAUUCUGUGAUUUUUUAAAAUACAUGUUUUCUG